UAUCAAGAGAGUCAAGAAAACCAUGCAUUGUUUCUCGAGUACCCUUAUCUUCUGUCCAUUCUCUCGUUCCUCUGCUCUCUUCUCAUUUUAUCUCCUGAUGAAACCAUCAAAGAACAAACCCUAGACAUCUACUGAAACCAUUAAAGAAUAAAAAUGAUUCUCUAUAAACCCUUGCAUCUACUACAAUCCAGUAAACCAAAUCAAUCUCUUCUCCCAACAGAUCCAUUCUAGGUCAUCUUCUUUUAAGGCGAAUGAUAAGAGAAACCCCUAAUUUAUUCUUCAACUUUCUCAUAAUACUUAUUUUAUGAUUGUCACAGCCAUCUAAUAUCUUCAAUUUAAAUUUUGAGGGUUUUGUAGUGAACAACUUAUCUUCAAUUGGUCGGGUGGUGAUGUCAAUUAUCUUGAUAUUAUUCGAGGUGAUCCCGGUGAUUAAAGUUUCUCAAGUUGUAAUGGGAAUUUCAUGGGGAACCUUAUCUAUGGGGAGUAUUUAGAAAGAGAAUUGUUCAUGUUUAAUGCCUCCUCCAUGUUCAUGUAACAGUUUCUGAGCUGAAGUACUGAUGAACUGAGGUAGUGAUGAUUGAUCAACUUGAUGCUGUAGAAUCUUCCGUUGUGAUGGGUUCAAGUCCAUUGCCAGCAUUAACAGUUGCCUCGAUAAUUGAUUUCAUAUUUAACUAUGGCAAAGGAAGCGCUUGUUCUACGUGUAAUGAGAUUCCUUGCACAUUAGCUUCUGUCGAUGCCCUUUAAAGGUACACACAGCUUUCCAGCGAUCCCCUUUGCAGAACUAGCAAACCUUGCAUUUUGUCCGUUGAUAUAGAUCAAUCCAAGGGAUCAUAAAAUGCAACAGUAAGCUAAUUGACCUAUUAGUUUCUGACAUGAAACCAAGUGCGGAAGCUUCCUAUUUCAAGUGUUGCAGAUUCCUCUUCUUUAAAGACACCACCUGACAAGUACUGGAACUAUGGAGAAGCAUUAUGGUGAUGUUAAAUUUCACUCAUGUUGCGGUGGUAGUUUUUCUAUAGUGAUUUAUUUUUUAGAUUUCUAUAUCGUAAAUUAUUUUCAGAUUCGGAACUGAUUGUAGUUUGUUAUUGUAAAACGAAAUCCAUGUGUUUAGUGAAUUUUUCGCAGAUUUAAAACCUGUGUAAUUGUAGUUUGUUGGGGUUGUAUAAUGAAUUUAGUGAAUAUAAGUUUAAUUCAAUUUCAGUUCUUGUUUGUUUCAA